GGAGAGAAGAGGAAGAGGUACGCCGGCCCUCUCCUGUCCAGGGAUAAGGACACCGACUGUCCCUGUGACAAGAAAAGACGGCUGAUGACAUCGGAGGAGGGAAAGCAAACACCAGCAGGCUCUUCCCGAACAGAGGAAGAGGUACGCCGGCCCUCUCCUGUCCAGGGAUAAGGACACCGACUGUCCCUGUUGUAAAAGACGGCGUUUAUAAGAGGCGCGGGCCCCCAAGGCACCAGCUUCCAGCGCAGAUAAGACCAGCGGAAGCCAUUACAGCGGUCACCUACUGAACAUCUUGCCUUGGGGAAAAAAACACCUAUUACCAACUGCCUGC